rnacentral:rRNA from 1 species
UACGGAGGGGGCUAGCGUUGUUCGGAAUUACUGGGCGUAAAGCGCGCGUAGGCGGACCUGCAAGUCGGGGGUGAAAGCCCGGGGCUCAACCCCGGGAGGCGGAUGGAUACUGCUUGGCUCGAGUCCGGAAGAGGCGAGUGGAAUUCCCGGUGUAGCGGUGAAAUGCGCAGAUAUCGGGAGGAACACCAAUGGCGAAGGCAGCUCGCUGGGACGGUACUGACGCUGAGACGCGAAAGCGUGGGGAGCAAACAGG